UGGGUUGAUCGUUUUUUGUCAAUUACUGCUUGACUUCCUUCAAACAACUGUUAGCCAAAAUGAUUAAUUUCCUUUUUACUGUAUAUAUGCACAUAUAUUAUACAGUAUACUCUGAGAAUAUAGUAAAGCAUAGAAAGAGAACAAAGAUAGAGGGAUAGAAAGGAGGAGGAAGGAGUAAAGAGAGAUAGAGAGGAGGAAGGAGUAAAGAGAGAGUGAGAGAGGAGGAAGGAGUAAAGAGAGAUAGAGAGGAGGAAGGAGUAAAGAGAGAGAGAUAUAGAGAGGAGGAAGGAGUAAAGAGAGCUAUAGAGAGGAGGAAGGGGUAAAGAGAGAUAUAUAGAGAGGAGGGAGGAGUAAAGAGAGCUAUAGAGAGGAGGAAGGGGUAAAGAGAGAUAUAUAGAGAGGAGGGAGGAGUAAAGAGAGAUAUAUAGAGAGGAGGAAGGAGUAGAGAGAGAUAUAGAGAGGAGGAAGGAGUAGAGAGAGAUAUAGAGAGAAGGAAGGGGUAAAGAGAGAUAUAUAGAGAGGAGGAAGGAGUAAAGAGAGAUAUAUAGAGAGGAGGAAGGAGUAAAGAGAGAGAUAUAGAGAGGAGGGAGGAGUAAAGAGAGAUAUAUAGAGAGGAGGAAGGAGUAGAGAGAGAGAUAUAGAGAGGAAGGAGUAGAGAGAGGUAUAGAGAGGAGGAAGGAGUAGAGAGAGAUAUAGAGAGGAGGAUGGAGUAGAGAGAGAUAUAGAGAGAGGAGGGAGGAGAGUAGAGAGAGAGAUAUAGAGAGGAGGAAGGAGUAAAGGGAGAGAUAUAGAGAGGAGGAAGGAGUAGA
rnacentral:lncRNA from 1 species